rnacentral:misc_RNA from 1 species
GUUCAAGUUGCUUGUGGAUGGAGGCACACUCUUGCCCUGACAGAAGCCAAAAAUGUUUUCUCAUGGGGAAGGGGCACCAGUGGACAGCUUGGCCAUGGUGAAAUAGUUGAUAGGAACAUACCCAAGAUGAUCGAUGCCUUGAGCUCGGAUGGAUCAGCUUGCAAGCAGCUGGAAUCAUCAAAAGCCGUCCCAAUGUCAGCUAAAG